UACGAAGGGUGCAAGCGUUGCUCGGAAUUAUUGGGCGUAAAGGGUAUGUAGGUGGUAAUAAAAGUCUGGGGUGAAAUCCCUGAGCUCAACUCAGGACGUGCCUUGGAAACUUUAUUACUAGAGUGCUGGAGAGGUUCGCAGAAUUCCCGGUGUAGCGGUGAAAUGCGUAGAGAUCGGGAGGAAUACCAGAGGCGAAGGCGGCGAACUGGACAGCAACUGACACUCAACUACGAAAGCGUGGGUAGCAAACAGG
rnacentral:rRNA from 1 species